rnacentral:rRNA from 1 species
CUGACGCUCAUGGACGAAAGCCAGGGGUAGCGAAAGGGAUUAGAUACCCCUGUAGUCCUGGCCGUAAACGAUGAACACUAGGUGUCGGGGGAAUCGACCCCCUCGGUGUCGUAGCCAACGCGUUAAGUGUUCCGCCUGGGGAGUACGCACGCAAGUGUGAAACUCAAAGGAAUUGACGGGGGCCCGCACAAGCGGUGGAGUAUGUGGUUUAAUUCGAUGCAACGCGAAGAACCUUACCAGGGUUUGACAUCCUGCGAAUCUCUUGGAAACGAGAGAGUGCCCUCGGGAACGCAGUGACAGGUGGUGCAUGGCUGUCGUCAGCUCGUGUCGUGAGAUGUUGGGUUAAGUCCCGCAACGAGCGCAACCCACGUCUUUAGUUGCCAGCAUUUAGUUGGGCACUCUAGAGAGACCGCCGGUGAUAAACCGGAGGAAGGUGUGGAUGACGUCAAGUCAUCAUGCCCCUUACAUCCUGGGCUACACACGUACUACAAUGCUACGGACAAAGAGCAGCAAGUUCGCGAGGACAAGCAAAUCUCAUAAACCGUGGCUCAGUUCAGAUCGUAGGCUGCAACUCGCCUACGUGAAGGAGGAAUCGCUAGUAAUCGCAGGUCAGCAUACUGCGGUGAAUACGUUCCCGGGCCUUGUACACACCGCCCGUCACACCAUGGAAGUUGGCCACGCCCGAAGCCGUUACUCCAACCCUUGUGGAGGAGGACGUCGAAGGUGGGGCUGAUGACUGGGGUGAAGUCGUAACAAGGUAGCCGUACCGGAAGGUGCGGCUG